rnacentral:rRNA from 1 species
AUACGUAGGGGGCGAGCGUUGUCCGGAAUGAUUGGGCGUAAAGGGCGCGUAGGCGGCCUGUUAAGUCUGGAGUGAAAGUCCUGUUUUCAAGAUGGGAAUUGCUUUGGAUACUGAUGGGCUUGAGUGCAGGAGAGGUUAUCGGAAUUCCCGGUGUAGCGGUGAAAUGCGUAGAGAUCGGGAGGAACACCAGUGGCGAAGGCGGGUAACUGGACUGCAACUGACGCUGAGGCGCGAAAGUGUGGGGAGCAAACAGGAUUAGAUACCCUGGUAGUCCACGCUGUAAACUAUGAUAACUAUCUUUUAGCGAUACACAGUUAGAGGGUACGAGAAAUCAUUAAGUUAUCCACCUGGGGAUUACGUUCGCAAGAAUGAAACUCAAAUGAAUUGGCGGGG